UAUUCUGCCCGGACGGGAAGGAUGAGAAGCUUCGACUAAGGUUCGAUUCGAGCGUUAGCGAGAAAGCGUUGCCGCAGGCAACGACCCGAAGGGCGAAGCGCACCGCGCUGAGUAAUCCUUCCCCCACCACCA
rnacentral:sRNA from 7 species